CACAGCUUUAGAUACAAAAGUCCACUGAAGAUCAGCUUUUCAGUCCUGCAAGGUUCACACAAAAACAAUAAUGUCUCCAUUACUUAUUCUGUGUACACUGGGUCUGCUUACUCAAGUUUCUCAUCAGGAGGUUCAGUCUCCUGAAUCUCUGUCAGUUAAAGUUGGAGAUUCUGCCUCUAUUAGUUGUACUGGGACCAGUGGAGUUGGUUCUGACAUGAGCUGGUAUCUACAGAAACCUGGAGAAGCUCCUAAACUCCUGAUUUAUUAUGCAAGUAAUCUUAAAUCUGGAGUACCAGAUCGGUUCAGUGGAACUUACUCUGGACUCAUUUUUACACUGAACAUACGUAGAGUUCAGCCUGAGGAUGCAGGAGAUUAUUACUGUAUGGGGGCUUAUCAUGGAAGGAACACACAGUGAAACAGAGUCAUACAAAAACCUCCCUCAGUCAGACAGCACAGAGAAGAGAAGCUUACAUUAGACUUUUGAGAAAGAUCAUUUGUGCUUAAAUAUAUUUGUCAUGGAUAUACUAUCCACUUCUCAGUUUACAGUAAUAAAAAUAAUCUACACAUUUACAUUAUUGUUUAAUUUAAUUAAGUGGUGCCCUUAUUUACACUUUAGCAAAUAAUUGAUUCA